GCAGCAGGCCGGUUUGUCGUCGCAAAUUCAACUCUGAUAGCUAUUGGAAUUGGAUUUUGAGGAGGAAAGUCCGGGCAACACAGAGCGCCAUAUUUCCUAACGGGAAGCUGUUCGCGAGGGCAGAGUAGCGUAACAGAAAAUAACCGUCCCGUUUAUAGGGACAAGGGUGAAAAGGUAAGGUAAGAGCUUACCGGAUGCCGUGGCAACACGGUGUGCCGUACGCCUUAUGGGUUGUAAGACCAUGUAUAUCGGCAAUUAAGGAUUGCUCGUCCAAUGCCGAGGGGUAGGUCGCUAAAGAGCGGUGGUAACAUCGUUUCGUAGAUAAAUGACAAACAUUUUCGAUUCGUCGAAAACACAGAACCCGGCUUACAGGCCGGCUGCUUUU
rnacentral:RNase_P_RNA from 1 species